UUUAUUUUUAUGUUAUUUUAAAUUCUAAUUUUCUUCUGCUUUAUCUUCAUUACUUCCUUCCUCCACCUUUUUUUUUUUUUUUUUUUUUGAGACAGAGUCUCACUCUGUCGCCCAGGCUGGAGUGCAGUGGCGCAAUCACGGCUCACUGCAAGCUCCGCCUCCCAGGUUCAUGCCAUUCUCCUGCCUCAGCCUCCCGAGUAGCUGGAACUACAGGCACCCACCACCACGCCCGGCUAAUUUUUUUGUAUUUUUAGUAGAGAAGGGGUUUCACUGUGUUAGCCAGGAUAGUCUCCAUCUCUUGAGCUCGUGAUCCACCUGCCUCGGCCUCCCAAAGUGCUGGGAUUACAGGCAUGAGCCGCCGCGCCCGGCCUUUUUUGUUGUUGUUGUUGUUGAGACUGGGUCUCCCUCUGUCGCCCAGGCUGGAGUGCAGAGACAUGAUCAUAGCUUGCGGAAACCUUGAACUCCUGCCCUCAAAUGAUCCUCCUACCUCAGCCUCCCAAAGCAGUGGGAUUAUAGGUGUGAGCCACUGCACCUGGCACCUCCUCCACGUUUCUUAUUUCCUUUUCCCCACUUUGUUUUGCUUUAUUUUAUUAGCUUCUUAAGUCACAAUCUUAUUUUUUCCAGUCCUUUUAAAUAAAAGCCUUAACUUAUUUAAGUGUAUUUUUAGUCCUAUUCCACACAUUUUGAUGCAUUAUAUUCUCAUUGUUAACUUUUAAAUAGUCCAUAGUUUUAGUACUGGUUUUCUUGACCCAAGGAUUAUUUAGAAGGAUCAUACCUUAAUUUCUAAGUGCUUAGAUGGAGGUGGGGGAAGGAACCAUCUUGUGUUAAUUUUCAAUGCUACUAUACUAUUAUAUGUGGCCAAUACAUGUCUAGUUUUUGUUAAUUGGACAUCUUCUUUGUGGUUGAGUAUUUAAUCAAUUUUUGUAAAUGCUCCAUGAUCUUUUAAAAAAAUUGUGUGUAUGUCCUAUUUGUUGGGUUAAGUCAAUAAUGAUAAUGGAAAAAUGCUAUUCAAAUAUUCUGUUCCUAUUUAUUUUUGUCUACUUGAUGAAAUAUUGAAAGCAUUUUGUUAGCCUCCCACUAUCACGAUGAAAAACUUCAUUUGUAUUUUAAAUUUUUAAAUUUUAUUUAUAUGUAUUUUGUGUGUGUGUGUGUGUGAGACAGAGUCUCACUCCAUUACCUAAGGUGGAGUGCAGUGGUGCAAUCUCAGCUCACUGCAACCUCCGCCUCCUGGGUCCAGGAGAUUCUCGAGCCUCAGCCUCCCAAGUAGCUGGAAUUACAGGCACGCAACACCAAGCUGGCUAAUUUUUGUAUUUUUAGUAGAGCCGGGUUUUGCAUGUUGGCUAUGCUGGUCUCCAACUUCUGACCUCAAGUGGUCUGCCCACCUUGGCCUCCCAAAGUUCUGGGAUUACAGGCGUGAGCCACCAUGCCUGGCCUGUAUUAUUUUAUUUGUAUUUUUAACAGAUUUUUCAGUGCUAGGAUACUCAGUGCAUAAAGGUUCAUUAUUGUUAAAUCCUCUUGUUGGAUUUGUAUUUCUUAUUCUAUGUCUCAUUUAGUAUUUUUUUUACAUUCAAUCCUACAUUUUUAAAUAUUAAUAUUACUGUCCUGAUUUUUGUUAGUUAGCAUUCACUAACCUAUCCCCUUUUCAUCCUUUCUGUGUUAUUUUGCUAUACAUAUGACUCCUAAAGAUGGUAUAUAGCUAGAUUAUCUUUUUAAACAAUGAGAGUCACUGAUUUUAUUAGAAGAAUUUAACCUAGUCACAUUUAUUUUUGUUUAACUUAUUCCUGCAAUUUUAUCAUGUGUUCAGUUAUAUUAUUUUCUUCCUGUCUUUCCCCUCUUUUCUAGACUUUUUCUGACUGAUCAUGCUCUUAAUUAGUAUAGUACCCUCCACCCCAGCUGUGUAUGUGUUUUAAUAUGUAAUGGUUUAGAAAUCCUACUUAAUACUUUUUUCAAGAGAUCAAAUACAUGUGACCUUUCUUCAUAAACAUCAGAGAACUACAUAGUAGGACUCUAUUAAUUGGUAAAGUCAUUCUGUUGUUUUGAGAAAUGUAGUGGUAGGUUCAUGUUAAUAAGAAUAAUUGUAUAAGAGGUUGUAAUAUUACACAGGCAUCAGAAAUCUUUCUAAAAGGGUAUGCUGCCAGGUAUCCAUAUUCACUCCCCCACCCCCCUCCCUAUAUGGAGGACAAGCUACAGCUUUCACAAAUAAUGUGGGUAAGUGUGGGGUAGAGGCAGCAAGGAACCCACUGGCUAUGACAUAACCAAAAACAUCCUGGGGACUGCUUCUACAAAUUUUGGACUCUUGAGACAUGCAGGCAAUCUGGAGAUCUACAGAGGUAUCUGUAGAAGGGAGGCUCUCAGGGUGGGUUUCCUACUACCUCAUUUCCAGUCACUAAAAGCCAUCAUAACUGAGGAAUCUGUUCUAGAUUAGGUGAUGUCACGAAAAAUGUAAACAUAAUUGCUAAAGAGUUGAGGAGCUCAAUUGAGAAAAUAAUGUUGCUAGACCUGCUGAAUGGCUAGAAUUCUGAGUUUCCUAAUGUCUAAUUCAGGAGGCACAGUAGUAAACAAGAAUUCACAAUCUUUUUUUCUUCUCUUUUAAAAAAUGAAGUACUUUUCAAUUUUUAAAGCUUUGAUAUCACUGGAGGGAUAUGGCGGAAAUUCUGGCCAUAAAAUACAAAUAUUGUUGUGUGGUUUUUUAUGUGUUUGAAUGAAAGUUAACACUAAAAUUCCUUAUUUGAUUUUUCAUAGAGAAGCCUAGAGUAGAGGGGAAGGAAUAGGGAUAAAGGUAUAGCAAGUAAACCUGUCAGUCACUCGAUUUACUGAAAUGAAACCUUGGUUUGGACCACGAGAAAGUGUGGUAAAAUACCUUAAAAGAGUGUUUCUGUUUUAAUAUUACAUGUUUAAAAAAAUCAAUUUAGCUUAAACAACCCUUUGAGUUAAAUAUUAUAUGUAAUUAUUCUUAUAUUACCAAUGAGGAGAUUAAGGUUCCAAGAAUUGAAGAGAUUUGUUCAAAUAAGUAAAUAAGUGAUAAAAUUGGAAUUUGAACCCGUUUCUGACUAUAAGUCAAGUGUCAUUUCCAGUACACACCAUAACUGCCUUCUUGUUGUUCUGUCUCUGAGAGAAAUUUAAACCCAUGCACACCACAUGAGUUGUGCAGCAGGUAACUGUGGCAAGAUAUGGUCUGUGCUUUACAAUGUACGUCAAAUGGUCCAGCCAGACCCCAGGGCAAUUGUUUCUAAAAUGACCCUGAGGGAUUUUUGGAGUAUUAUGUCAUGCAAAGCCUCUCCUCAUUAACAAUCCUGCAAAAGCCAGCAAAUGCUGUUUCUGACCCUUGGAACAGCUAAAGGAAGUUGAAAGGUCAAGAAAGUUCUCUUGCUGGUAGACUAUACACUGGUACCUUGUUGAUACCAUUGUGAUGUGAUCUAAGCCAAAAUUCUCAAGCCCUUUGACCAGCUGUCUUCAAAGCUAGAGCCCUACCUAGUGGGGUUAUUCUUCUUCGGCAUAACACAGGGCCUGAUGCCAACAACCAAACUGGCGCUUUCCAACGUUGUGCAACUGAAUUCCAAAUAAUUAGGCCCUAUAUUCAUCUUUGUUGUUGACCAAAACAUUGAAAGAAAAUGGCAAAUUUCCUUGUUCAUAAAAUGACUGGCUAGGGACACAUAGGAAAGCCUUGCCAUUCAUCCAGGGUGAGUUUUAAGAAGGCUCAUAAAUACAGAACAACAGACGUAGCAGAACGACAGUACUGAGAAGCAAGACACCAUCUUACAUUUGGUGCUCCUUUCUUUUGGGCAGAACAGUGAAGAGAUUAACAUAGGCAAUGUAAACAAUUCAACAGCAUGCGAAAAGUGUCAGGAGUGAUCCUGAACAGUAAGGUGUCUCUCGUUAUGGAGAUUGGUGGCUUUGAUUCAGAAUUUGUGUUUUCCUCACAUAUAUGUAACACGGGACCAAGAGAACACCUAAUUAAUAAUCUAUUUGUAUAUUCUUCCUACUCAGGAGCAUCCCUCUCCUCCAUAUUUAGGAGCACAUCAAACGGGGCAAAAUUGGUAAACAAGUUCAUAUCACUCCCGAAAGAAAGAAUUCUGAAAUCAAACUGCCUGGGUUCAAAUACCAAAUCCAUUACUUACUAGUUGCAAUUAAUUGCUUUAUUCUUUUGGGUCACAGUUUUCUCAUCUAUAACAUGGAGAUAACUUUAGUAUUAUUCAAUGUGAGUAUUAAAUGUGAUGCUGCAAAGAGUUUAGCCACUGCAGCGCAUAAACGGUGGUUACUGUUACUAUUGUAGGUGGAAAAUUUUAUUCUCGGGAAAUCUAUAUUAGAAUUUCUCACAAGAAAGGCAACCAGAGUCAAGCAAAGAACUUUCUUUCUUUCUUUUUCUGAGAUGGAGUCUCAUUCUGUCGCCCAGGCUGGAGUGCAAUCUCGGCUCAUUGCAACCUCCACCUCCCAGGCUCAAGCAAUCCCACCUCAGCCUCCUGAGUAGCUGGGACCACAGGCACUCACCACCACACCCAGCUAAUUUUUUGUAUUUUUAGUAGAGACAGGGUUUUGCCAUGUUGCCUAGGUGGGUCUCGAACUCCUGGGCUCAAGCAAUCUGCCCACCUCCGCCUCCCAAAGUGCUGAAACUACAGGCGUGAGCCACCACGCAGAGCCAUGAACUUUAUUUCUGAGGGUGUUUUGCAUGCAGGAAAUAAAGGAUAUUCAGAAAUCAAACGGAACAGAGCUGCAGAUUAUCCCAGAGAGGUACAGUCUAGCUAGAAAGCAGGAAAGGAAAUCCAUUAAGGGUACUUUGAGCCUGGAGGUGGUGAAGCACAUACUUUCCUAAAUUUGGAAGAGUGAGAAUAUUUGUGUCUGAUCAAAAGUAAGGAGGAAAGCUGAGGCAGGAGAAUUGCUUUAAACCAGGAGUUCAAGACUGGCCUGGGCAGCAGAGCGACAUCCUGUCUCCAAAACAUUUUUUUUUUUUUUAAUUAGCCAUGCACAGUGUCACACACUUGUAGUCCUAGCUAUCUGGCAGGCUGAGGCUGGAGUAUCCCUUCAGGCCAGGAGUCCGAGGCUGCUGUGAACUAUGAUUGCACCACUGUACUCCAGCCUGGGCGACACAGUGAGAUGCUGUUUUUUUUUUUUCUUUCCGAGACUGAGUCUUGCUCUGUCACCUAGGCUGGAAUGCAAUGGCGCGAUCUCAGCUCACGGCAACCUCUGCCUCCCGGGUUCAAGCCAUUCUCCUGCCUCAGCCUCCUGAGUAGCUGGGAUUACAGGCGCGUGCCACUAUGCCUGGCUAAUUUUUGUAUUUUUAGUAGAGAUGAGGUUUCACCAUGUUGGUCAGGCUAGUCUUGAACUCCUGACCUCGUGAUCCGUGCCCCCUUGGCCUCCCAAAGUGGACCCUGUCUUAAAAAAAAAAAAAAGGCAGGAAAACGGCAUAUGAAUUACAUCUCCAUGAUAAAAAAAAAUGAGGAAAGCCUCAUGGCUAAUGAGAAAAUAUGUUAGAUAAGAAAGAUAAAGAGAGGUUUCAGCAGAAGCCAUGAAGGUAGGUAGAGGAAAAGGUGGCUACAAAGAAUUUUGGAGAAACUGUUUAUGUAGCAUAAAGCAUAAAACCUUUAAGCCAUGCCUUUUAGAAGAACCUAGAUUAAAGAGAUAGGUUAUUCUUCAAUGCUUCUGGGAUUGGGAUAUGUUUUGUUUGAAAGAGACUCCAGGCAGAAUCCGGACCAUGUGGGGUCUCAAGAUUUAUUCAGGUUACAAUUAGAGAGUGGGUUACAUCCAUUUGAGCAACAUCAAAUCCAACCGUGUGUUAGUCACAUUUUUUCUGGGUUAUGAUUCAGAUUUUGAAAUGGCCGCAGACAGGCUGACUUACAUGAUUCUGUGAAGGAAGCAGACUUACAAAACAGAAACAUCUCUCGAGAUUUUAUUAAUUAGUGGCAGUCAUAAUGAAUGGGGAACAUUGUACGUUGUAUAGUGACAUCUAUUAUUUUGUUUGCCUUCAAUCAACUUCCAGAAAUAAGGUUGGUGCUCUGGGUGGUGCCUAAAGUAGAACAAGGGUGCUAUUUACUAAAUUACUAUCGCAUACUUCUCAAUGAUAUAAGCAAGGUACUAAAAGCAACAUAAUAUCCACCAAUUAGCUUCCAAUGACACAUCUGCAUACAGAAAUGAUCAGCCAUCUCUGUGUCUAAUAACAUAAGUGUGUUUACUGAAAUAUGUCUCCUGAACAUUUUGUGUAAACUGCCUUUUAACCUUUGGUGCACUGUGGAGCAUUAGUAACACUGAUGCAAGUGGAGGGAGAAUAGGAGUUAAUGGAAUAUUGCAGUAAGUUGAUAAUGGUUUUUAAUAAACUCUACUUCUUUUAUUAUUGGAAAAUUAGCAACAUGAACUGUAAUAUUCAUGAAAGCAUGCUGAGAUUUCUAGUAACUAGGUUUUAUAGGCAUGAAUCUCUCCCAAAGCAACAAAGAAUAUACAGGGGGAAAAUAGGUUGUGACCAAGUCCAGUGUGCUAUGGAAUGUACAAUUAGAUGCAAGAAUUCGGCUUUUAAAAAACACAUCUAGCCUGAUUAAAAACAAGGAUUUAGGGUUAUAAAAACAAAAACAAACAAAGCAAAGCAACCCCUCCCCCUUGUCAUUAAUGACAGACUGCCUUGGGCUAUGCAAAUUAUUAAAAAAGAAUUCGGUUAGGAAUUCCCAACCAAUGUAGAGAUUACAUUUCACAUUUGUGCAGUUUGCAUAACAGGCACAUUUAACUUACAUAAAUCCAACUUUUAAUGCUUGAGGGAGAAGGAGAAAGAAAGUAAUUUAAACAGUGAUGGCCAUUUCCCCCACCACUCCUCAUAGUGAACGUGCCCCCACAGUAUCCUGAGAUGACAGACAUGAAUCUGCAGGUUCUUCUUCAAGACUCUCAGUGUUUUCAUCAUCAGGCCAUACUAGGGGUGAUUCCAGCCUUUAAAAAUACACGUAUUUCAGAUGCUGAGCCCAUAAAUGGCAACUAGCUACUUCAUCUGUGUAUUGGGUACACACACGUAUAUAUUUCCUGUGUUUUAUUAUGUUUGAGACAACUUUAAAAGCUUUCUGGCUGGGGAGAGAUUGCUCCUUCUGGGGCUAGCCAACUUUCAGAGAUAACAAGGGUUCAGUCAGGAAAAUGCUUUUGAUAUGCAAACUAAUCAAUCCAGAGUCAGCUCUCCCCUAUCUGGCCCAUAUACCCCAGGAGACAAUAUUCCUCUGCCUUGGUCAUCCCAGGGCUACGUGUCACCCCUAUAGUUUAGAGCCUGCUGAAGUUAUUCAAACUAGCCAACCCUAAACUGUUUUCAUCCUGCCCUGCCUUGCCUUUCCCAAGGAAACCCCAAUAAAAGCUCUGGCCUAAAUGUUCCCCUUGUUCCUGUUUUCUGCCUCCUGACCACCCUGGUGUCUUUCCCAUGUGGCCCUAUGUGGUGUGCUGUGCCUUUAUAUGUAGGACUCGUAAGUACAAUAAAUGUUGUUUUCCUGAGCCUCUCCUGUGUCUUCUCCCAAGGCUACUCCUGACUGACCAUCACAUAAAAGAAUACAAAACAAUCUGAAAGUCAACCAAGGAAAUAGUAAUCAAGAAUAAUUCUGAAUAGACGUAAUUUCUACUUUAUGCAUGACUGUAAACCUUAACUUCACUGAACUAGACCAGGGAAUUGGCUUUCGCAUUGCUUGUUGGGCUUUUAAACCAGUGAAUGGAAAGAAUAAAAAGUUUUCUCCACACAACUUCUCGGAAGAGAUCUGCCCUGUGAUCUGCAAUGUCCUGACGUUCAAACUUCUAAGUCAUCUGUGGAGACCGCUCAACUGAUUCCAAGUGGAAGUACUAAGACUGUCAUUUCAGGUCAGCUGCUUCUUAAGCACCAGCUACCUCAGGCCCUAACAGCCUCAUCUUCCUGUAUAUGCUCAGAUUACUCUGCAAAUGCUCUUUGUAGCACAAACUAGUAGCAUUAUCCAUUAACCUAAAAUAAUUAUUACAUUAAGUAUUUACAUGAAUCAACACUACUAUCUUUUUUAAAAAAAAACAACAAAGUACUUUUUUAUGCACUAAUUCAUCAUCACCGAGCAAAGUUGUUGUUUCUACUUCAGAAUGAUAACACUGAGUUACUGCUAAAUGAAAAACAAUAGUAACAUACCUUUUCAAAUACACUAUAAAAUUGCAGCAGAGCUUGGUUUUGUUGCCUCUCACUCUGGGUCCCAGCUCAAUAAAUAUCUGUUAACUGGUUAGCGAACUCCCCAAUGUUUAUCUUGUAUGGAAAAAAACUAGCAGUAAUACAGCACACUUUGAUGCAACCAGGUGGUUCUCACAAUCAAGAUCUUACAAACACAACGAUGUGUUAUAUGGUAACUACCCAAGCUAUGAAGCCAGACAACUUUAUUGGAUGAGUGCUCCAGUUAUCUACUGCUGCAUAACCAAAGGACCCCAAAACUCAGCUAGAUAAAACCACUACCAUUUCAUUAUCCUCACAGAUUCUUGGCUCAGGAAUUCCGAAAUGGCACAGUGGAGACAGCUAUUCUCUGUUCCAUAAUAUCUGUGGUCUUAGCUGGGGUCACUUGAUGAACUGGGGGCUAGAACACUGGAGCUGGACAAUCUACUUCCAAGAAGGCUUCUUCAUGUAGAUGCCUGGUACAAGGCUAGGAAGGAUAAGGUAUAGACUCAACCAAGACUGUCAUCCAGAGCACUUACAUGAAGCCUUUAUGGCAUGUAGCUGGACUUUUUACAUAGUGGCUCAAGUCUCGAAAUGCAAGUGUUUCCAAUGAACGAGGCAGAAGUAUAGCUUUUUAUGUCUUAGCCUUGGAAGUUACACAGGGUCAUUUCUGCCGUACUCCCUUGGUCAAAGUAGUCACAACCUCUCCCCCAUCACAUUUAAGGGGAAGGACCACAGGCCCACCUCUCAUUGUGAGGAGAGUCAACGUAUUUACAAUCAUGUUUUAAAAUACCUACAGUAAAUCUUCAGCCUCUUGUCUGGUGCACUAACAUUUUGAACUUGAAAUUUUUAAUGAUAAGCCUGUGUGCUUACAGAAUAUGAGCCACUAAGUGUCUGCGAUUAUAUUUCUAGAAAAUCAGCUUCUGAAUUGUGGGAGGCCACAGUCCCAGGGCAAUAUAAUGCCUACAUGGACGUUAUGUAAAUAUUAAUUUGGAAUAACAACAAAAGGAUACAACUGGUGGAAAAUCUGUUGUCUAUCUUUGGCCCUUUAGUAUUUUCCUUUGGUGAUUUUUCCCAUCUCCAUUAAGGCUAUAUAGCAAUCAGAUGCCCGAGGUUAAAUUAAAGCAUUUAAGGAGCUAGGAACCUUAGGGGGAAAUAAUUUAAAUUUAUAGAGCUAACCAUUAGGCUUGAGGUGGCAAACUCAAACUCCUACCACAGCCAGGCUGGCAGAGGAGUAAGUGUGGCUGGGGUAAGUCAGUGGAAGUACUGGGGACUGAAGUUCACUGGAAACAUUUGCCUUAAGGUAUGUAAAUUCCAUUUAAAAAAAAAAAAAAAACAAAAAAAAACUUCAUUUUCCAAAACUGGCCUUUGAACCAUAGCUUAUAAUCCUUAAUUUAGAUUAGGUGGCGGGUAUUUCCUAGAUUUAUGGUUUUUUGCCCUAGUUCUGUUGGUCUGUUUUCCACUCCUCUAUGAGAUUGGUCUGUUUUCCACUCCUCUAUGAGAAAAUAAACAUUGAAUAUAUAAUUCUGUAGCUAAUAACAAACAUAUAAUGAGAAUGUACUAUGUCCAGGUGCUAAGUAUUUUAUUUAAUGAUCAGUAGUCCUUUGGGGUGGGUAUUACUGGGCCCAUUUUACAAAUAAGGAAACUGGGCUUCAGGAAAUUUAAAUUAACCUGAAAAAGGUCCUAAAGCUAGUAAGUGGCAGAGAUUAGGUUCAUACUGAGGUAUGUCUGCCCCCAACACCUAUGGUGUUAACCACUCCAUGUUAGAAUAUGGUGCUCUGGAUGAACGUGGCUCCCCUAAGGUGAGUGGCCAACAAGCAGGGGCCUAUCUUUGCUGACACUUCUUUGGGUGUAACCCACCCAGCUACUCUAAUUUUGGGAUAGAAAUGGAGCUUACCUGUGUCAGUGAAUAUAUGGGGAUAGUACCUCUUACCUAGGAAUCCUGUCCUGGAAGUCUAAGACUGCGUAAGAAACAGAGUUCAGGCCGGGUGCGGUGGCUCACACCUGUAAUCCCAGCACUUUGGCAGGCCGAGGCGGGCAGAUCAUGAGGUCAGGAGAUCGAGACCAUCCUGGCUAACACGGUGAAACACCCAUCUCUACUAAAAAUACUAAAAAAAAAAAUUAGCCGGGUGUGGUGGCGGGUGCCUGUAGUCCCAGCUAUUUGGGAGGCUGAGGCGGGAGAAUGGCGUGAACCUGGGAGGCGGAGCUUGCAGUGAGCCGAGAUCACGCCACUGCACUCCAGCCUGGGCAACAGAGCAAGCCUCUGUCUCAAAAAAAAAAAAAAAAAAAAAGAAACAGAGUUCACAGUACUUCUGACCCCUGACAAAGUUUCUCUGGAUACCUGAAAAGAAAGUUCGGGUCUCAGUCUUCUAGAAGAUGGGCAGUGCUUUGCCACUGAUCACCUGACAUAAAACCAUCCAUCAGCAAGGUGCUACUCACAUAUUUAUCAGAGAAAGCACAAGUCAUGGACUGUGUGAGGCAGGCAUUUCCGUACUCAACAACCUCUCCUGGUAGACCACCACAGAUUCUCCCCUUAGUAAAUCUAUUUUUAAAAAGCCCCCUUUAAAAAUCCUCCUCUACUUCCUUGAAGAGAAAAUUCAAAUAGAGUUCUCAUACAUCAAACAUAUGACAGAGGCAGUUUUUAAUCAUUUAAAUUAUUUAUCCUUUAUUGUUUAAUGCUUUAUAUCAUUCUUCCAUGCAUAAUUUAUUGUACCAUUUAUGUUUAUUAAAAAUUGAUCAUGGAGACAUGCUCUCUCUCCAUUCUCUGAGGCUACAGAUAUUUCUUUGUCAAAUCACUUGGGAAUAGACAACAAAGUGUUCUACUAAAUUUCUUUUUCAUUCACUUUAACUGUUUGUAUGUCCCUUUCUUUUCUUAGGAGUCCUUUUCUUCCACUAAAAACUAGAGUUUAUCUUUGUGUAUUAACUGCUCAGUUUCUUUUUUAUAUAAAGAGAAAGCUUGUCUGAAGGCCCCCUUUCUAUUCAUUAAAGCUUUCAGAAAAAAAGGCUUAUUUUACUUUUCUAAUUUUUGAACGCAAAUGUAAAAAGGAGGCACAAAAGAACAAGAUUCUAGAGUCUUCUGUGCUACAGGCCAUAGCUUGUGGAACCAACCCCCUUUCUCUUUGCCUUUUCUACUUUAUUCCUUUUUUUUUUUCCUCCUCAGAUGAUUCAUACUUUCCUUGCCCUUAUUAUGUCUGCAGUCAGUUCUUAACUCUCUUCUGACUAGUUUGGUUUUUUUCCCUUCUAUAUCUUCCGAUUGCUCCCCAAUUCCUCUCACCUUUGCGCUUCUCAACCCUAUGUCCUGAACUGCUCUCUGCAACCCACCAACCCCAGUCCUGAACUGUGCAUCACCAGCGUCUCUGACCCACUGCCACAAACCUGGUCAUUCUACUCUUCUCUACCAGAGGACAGGGGAGAAGCAAAAAGGAGCAAAGUAUGUGAGAGGCAAGGAAGCUAAGCAGAGCUAAGAAGCACCUAAGAGGCUCACAACAUAUUAGUCCUGAAAAAGGUUUGUGGCAGACCACUGAAUUCAAAGGCAUCUAACUUGGUAUGUCCACGCUGGCUCUCCUCAGUAUUCCAGCCCAUUUCCAUGAGGUCCAACCAUGUUCCACUUCCAGUGUUCCCUAUUGCAAGAUGAGACCAUGACUGGCUGCCCAAGCCAGAAAUCUGAGGAUCACCCUUGCCCCUUCCCUCGUAUUCACCCCCAUAAUCCCCAACACUUGCAGAUCUACUCCUUAGUAUCUCUGGAAUCCAUCCCCUGAGAUCCAUACCAUUGGCCAUCCACCUCCCUCCCUUGCCCGGCCUUCUGUAGCAUUUUCCUUCAGGUCCCAGGCCCACCUCCCUCCGUUCUUAGUAUGCUAUAACUAAUAUUAUGACCACUCUGAGAGGCGGAUCUGCUUAAAAUCCUCUUCCCACCAUGACUGGGAUCAAGUCCAGUGUUCUUAACAUGGCUUACUUAGCUUAUAACAUGUGAUGAGGCCCCUGCUUAAUUCUCAUUAAUUCUCAUGCCUUUUAUUUUGCAAACCCUAGGUAUGACAGCUCCUCUCCCAACAGCUCUACUUUCUACAUCUACUCUCUACCACCACAAAACUUCUUUCAGUUCCAUGAAAGGGCCAUGUUUUUCUGGUCUCUUGGCCUAGGAGCAUGUUGUUCUUCUGCCAGCAACCUUCUUCAACCAUCUCCACAGGAUGACUCCUCUAUUGGAUACUUCCAUGAAAAGUCCAGGCCUGGGUUAUGUACCCUUCCCAAAGUGCACCCCAGACACCCAACAGUUUUUCCAGCCCAGACUCACCACACUGUGUGGUAAUUUCCUGAUCACUCAGUUGUGCUCCCCACAGACUAUAAGCUCUAUGAGGGCAGGGGCCACAGUUUGCUUGUUCACUACUAUAUGCUCAGUACCUGGUAAAUAUUAGUUGACUGAAGAAUGACUAUGUGGUAAUCUAUUCCAUUGGUGGCCUCCAGUGAACCAUGUCUUCUGGUAUUUACAUCUUGUGUGGUCCCCUCCAUUAAAUUUGGGCUUUAACCAACAGAAUGCUGCAGAAGCGACACCCUGCCACUUGUGCUUUUGUGAUCCUAGCCACCAGUAAGAAGCCCUGUGACCUUGCUGAGACCCUGAAGAGACCACAUAGAGAGGCCACUUGAAGGGCAAGGGGUCCUGACUCUACAUGGAGAGAGAAGCCCAGCCAUCCCUGUUUCCCAGCUGAGUCCUGACCAGAUAACUCACUACAAGACUGACCACAGGCAAGAACAGCAGAAGAGCUGCCCAGCUGAGCCCAUCCAAGAGUGCAGAAUUUCAAGCAAGUAAAAUGACUAAUGUUGUAAGCCACUAAAAUUCUAGGGUGGUUCUUACAUAGCAAUAUGUAACUGUGAUAAACUAAAUAAAUGAAUAAAAGGGAAUGAAGAAUUA